GAAGGAUGUGAAAGGCAUGAACACACAAAAAACCCAAUUAGCAUUAAUUACUGGUGUCUGAGAUGCUAGGGAGGAAAAUCUGCCAGUCUCCCACGGUUCAGAGAGUUUAUACAUGUACCUGUCAGACAACAUAACAUCUCAGCACGCUAUCAAAAACAAAACCGUGCACCCAAAUCCAGACAAUCCUAAAAAUAAUUCAUUCCGUCAUGAUAUAAUAUUCAUAAAUCCACAGAAACAUGUGGAUACGGGAUUGAACAUCACUUGUCUUUUUUUUAUAUAUAUAUAUUGUAUUUGUGGAUGAAACUCAGGGACAAAUAAAAUUCUUAAAAAUGAAUAAAUUAGGGUCAAACACCGACCAAUUCAUCUCACUGGCACAUUUUAUAUCGUUAUGUGGAUUGAUUUUACUCAAUGUCAAAAGGCUCUGUGCUGCAUGAACUGAGAGCUGCCAGAAGGCUCUUCAACACAUUUGCCAACCCGCUCUCCCAAACAGCAAUUGUCCAAUCGCAGCUUAGCAACCGUAACUAUGCACAGCAGGUGUGUCAAUCUUUCAAUUUUUCCACAUGUGAAGUGGAGUGGAGCUGCGGGGAUGGUGACGUUGUGCGUGAGACCUACAGCUUCAGUGUACCAAUACAUCCUAAACGUGCAUAUGUAGAACCCGUUCCAGCCUCCUUCAGGAAAUCUCUCACCCUGCUAUAUCUGCCUGCUGAAAACCACCUUUUUAAAAAUUUCAGCUGGCUAUUUUUAUGCAAGCACAUAUUCCAUUAAAACAGACCGACAGAUGUGUAGACUUCUGUCCUGGCAAGCGGCUUGCAACCCGGCCAGGGAGAAGAGGCCCAUUGUGCUUCUGGAAAAGAACCCCGAGCACUCGGCUGCGUCUUCGGCGCGGCAGACGUGCUUCCGAGGAUCCCGGAACAGGGUCCCUGCUCCAAAAAUAAUGGGCAGAAUCCGAUGGGAGAGAAAGCAACAUCAUCCCGUUUCCUCCGCCGUGUCCUCUGCGAGGCCGCCUCCCAAUUAGCAACACCGCCGCUGCUGAGGGGAGAUAACAAUAGAAGCCCAUGUAUCCCCUAAAGAGCUCACAAGAGGACCUUUUAUUACCGUAUUGAUGUCUCCUACAUGUCACCACUGCCCUCACUUGCCUUGACGCAUGCCUGCACAUUUUAUAUGAGGGGGGGGAAAAAAACACAGGAGCUGUAACUCAACACAAGAAGAAAAACAGCGAGACAAAACAUGAGGCUGAAAGGUGCAAUCUGUAAUUAGUGGGAUGCCGUUAGGAAUAAAUAUGAAAUAAGAUACAGAGAGUUCAAGCUCCACAGGCAAUUAAACAAAAAAAUGAUUAAUGGGUGCAAGUACAAAGUGUUUCUGGCAAAAAGUCACAUGACACCCAGUGGAAUGAAGAUCUGUGAUGAUAUUAAACCCAAUAAAACAACAUCAGUGGCAGUUACAAAGACUUACAAAACAAUUACUGAUAUUCCACUGAUAGUUUAUCCUUUCCUGAAUCAUAAGACUAUUUCAGUAUUGGGACGGAUGGACUACAGAGCAUCUCUCCAAGCAAUAAGUGCUUUGACACUCGUAGGAAAUAUGAGCUUUUAGUACACAAAAGUGUUCAAGUUAGCUCACAUUCUGUAUAGCACCACAAAUUAGUUAUUUCACGUAUAAAAGGCCACAUAACUGGUCUAAUUGUACUGAAAACACCAAAAAAAGUGCCUCGCUGACAAAGAUUGAGAAAAUGUAUUAAAGUGUCUUCUAUUUAGUAAUUCUACCAAAAUCCUUCAUGUUUGUCCGUCUGUAGAUGGAUGAAAGGUUCCACGGGCUCUGCAGGGCUUUGUCCUGGAGACAUUCAGCAGUAUCACAGAGGCUGCUUGUGAGGCUUUACAGUAAAUGGAUAAGAGGUCAAUCCAGCUGCAAAGCUGAGGUCAGGCUCUCAGAGAGCGCGUCUGUGUGUGAGUGGUCAUAAAACCCUACAUGAAUCCAUUUCAAACGCCCCAGCUGUCACUAAAGUACUGGUCCUCCUCCUCAUCCUCCUCGUCUUCUUCCUCUUCUUCUGUAGUCCCGUUCCUCAUGAGGUCAUCAUCUUGUAACCCGUUCACUUCCUCUUCCCCCUCUUCUUCCUCUUUCAGCUGUGCAAGCAUGGCUUGUAAAGUGGCUUUUACUUCCUGAACCUCCCUUUCCAACGACUGUGCAGUGACACAGUCCCGGUUCAGUACGGCCGUCUGCAAUUCAUCUUCCAAGGUCAGCAGCCUAUCACUGAUCAGCUCGCAGCGCUCUGUCAGGUCCGCCGUCUCGCUGCAGCCAUCCUGGCGAGGGUAAGGAAUAAAACGCCGGUUAAAAGAAGAAGAGGAUGACUGAAGCUGCAAAUAUAUGCGUCUGAUAUUGUAGAACAGGAAUAAAAGUCUAUCUGACAAUAACAGGCAACCUGAAAGGAAAACAUGGAAAUGAUGGGAGGGGUUUUAGCACUACAAUAUUGAGGAGCUUUGGAAUAAUUUGAUAAAAACUGACUCAAAGCUAAUUAAGCUGCUGGUUAGAAUUUCACUUCCCAAAACUCACAAGAGACAUUUAGAAGAGACCGGUCGAAAUGGAAGCAGAGAUAUCCUUUCUUUCAGAGCGCUUUCCCACCGAACCCUUUUAGUUUGGUUAAAACAAACUCUGGUGCGUUAGCCUGGUUGGUAUGAUUAAUUUAGGCGGGUGUGAAAGCGCUCAGUCAAAACCCGAACAACCAAAUCAAGUCGCCUGAAAUCGUGGUUCUUAUUCUGUGUCAAAGAUAGACCCGUUUGUUUAUGAUCAGAAAGCCAACGAUCGUAACCUGAUUUCAAACCUGAUCGAUACCGUAUGCAUGACUUAACUGAUGUGCUUUGGAUCCGACCGCGUACACUUUGUUAGUUAUUUAGGUCUAUUUAAAAAGUGUGUUAAAGAGCUGGCACAAUAUGCCAGACUCAUUUCUGUACAAGACGCCUCCAGCGUGUGACUGUGCAGCGCCCGAUGCUAAUUUGAGUGUCAUCUGGGAGCAACGGGACUUUUGUACAGUUCUGUUUCUACCUGUUAGCCGUUGUUCAUAACAUGAGGACGAC
ensembl:lncRNA